AUCAAGUCUCAAAUCUAUUUGCGUGAGACUUAAGUAUGACUCGCAUCAAAGUUCCAAGUCUCAAGUCCCCAUGUCUGAGCAUCACUAAUUUCUCUCAUACUGUGACAUCAUCAGGUCACACACUUUUUUACCAGUGUCAUGGUUUCUAAAGGUAUUUCUCCAGUUGGUUUCUUGUUCUUUUGGUUUGGUAAAUCUGUCACAACCGACUUGUUUCUUCAAUUUUUCUAAUAUUUUCUGUUUCAACUGUUUGAAACAUUAAACCAGGACUUUAGUGGAUCCUGAUACCCGGCCAAAUCUCUCUGAGUCAGUCUGUGGAGGGCGAACUCAGUUAGACCUAAGUGGGGCUGCACCAAACAUCCUCCCAGACGUUUCAGGAGGGAAACACAAACCAGACCCCCAUGAAGAGCAGCAGCCUGAGGCCUCCACACACAACGACCCGACGGCUGGCAUAAAAACAUCCCUGAGAGUGCUGCGGAUGACCGUAGGGCGAGUCAGCAGAAACCCAGGCUGAUCACAGAGGAGGUCCUCAGCUCAACUAGAAGAUCUUUUAUCAAAGAUCUCAUUCUGCAGGUUCCAACAAGAUUCAACUUUCUACUGUGAAAAAAACCCCAAAAAGUCUUCAAAUUUCUUAACUUUUUUCUUCCAAUGUUCUUUUAUGGUCACAUUCAAAUGGAAAAUACUACAAAGC